rnacentral:SRP_RNA from 1 species
UUGUGCUAAGCGGGAAGUUAGCGGUGUCCUGUACCCGAAAUCCGCUUAUGCGGGGCUGAAUUCCCUUUAGAGGGCUUUUUCUGAAAUAUUGAGUGACAUAUUAGGCCGGACGCCACGCAACAGACGGUUACGAACCCCGUCAGAUCCGGAAGGAAGCAGCGGUAAGUAAUGCAGUCUGUGUCGUGGAUGUGUUCUGACCGUUAUUGUGACACUAGGUAUGGAGGAUGAGGUUCAAAAAAGGGUGCACAG